AGUAACACGUGAGUGACCUGCCUUUUAGACUGGAACAACUUACCGAAAGGUGAGCUAAUGCCGGAUGAGUUAUAUAAGUGCAUGUUUAUAUAGGAAAAGUUGGGGAGACCUGACGCUGAAAGAUGGACUCGCGUCCCAUUAGCUAGUUGGUAGGGUAAUGGCCUACCAAGGCGACGAUGGGUAGCCGGCCUGAGAGGGUGGCCGGCCACACUGAGACUGAGACACGGCCCAGACUCCUACGGAAGGCAGCAG
rnacentral:rRNA from 1 species